AAUACUCCCUUCCACCGUUGGCCUCCUUCUCAAGAGAAUUCUCCCCAAUUCAAUUUCUCAAAACCCAAAUCAUGAAGAGGAAAUCCCUAGAUUAGAAGUCUCCAAAUCGAAACCCGUCGCUCCUUCGGCUUGCCGGAACGUCACCGACGAAACCUCUCGGCGUCUCUUUCUCGGUGUAUCACUACUCCGGUCGGCGCUCUCUCUGCACCGUCGGAGCUCGCCCCCUCCUCGUCCUCCUUCCUUGACGAAAUCGCCACUCCACACGGACGUCGGAGCGUCGACGGCUCCAGCUCUUCAGCGUCCCGGAGUCUACCAGAAGUCUCGGCCUUCACAGCCUCCUUCAGUCGCUCCAGCCUCCGUCGCCGUUCCUUUCGUCGCUGGUCUUGCGCCGCCGGAGAAAGAGCCGAGGCAUCGCCUCACUUCCUUCUUCCAUGGACACGGCUUCACCCGGCGUUCAUGAAGCUUGUCAGAGCGGUGCCGCCUUCGCACCAGGAGCUUCCGUGGCUGCCUUCGCGGCCUUGCCGUCGUCGGUGGUCUCCGGGCAGAUCCUUGUCUCUAAAGCUAAGUCUCCUUAUUUAGCUAAUUUACGACUUCCUUAGACGACACCGGUUCCGAUUACACGAUUUAGCAUUAGGCAGGUUAUUGUGAUUCGGUUAAGAGGCUCGAACUAGAGUUUUAAACUGCAAAUCCUUACGUUAUAGUUCAAAUAACACUAAAGACAUUUGAACACAAACUCUAUUGGUUCUGACAGUUGUUGGCUGCCGUCGCUAAUUCAUGUUGCUUACUGUUAUGGUGUCCUAAGGAUGAAAUGAUGUUGAUAACAUGAUUGUGUGUGUGUUCUCAUGGAGGAAAGGAUGUGUUAAGGAGAGUUGUGGUGGUUUACCUGUUGUGGUGAAAGGCCAAAAGGAAAGAAGUUGUUCUUGCUUGUUCACAGCCCCUUUUACAAAGCUUACUCUCUCCCUCGGUGGUUAUCUGAAAGGUUGAAGUGAAGGAGUGGUAUUUGGGGUGGAGGCACACAUAUAUAUACAGGUUUUCUUGUAACUGAAAGCUUGCAAAAGCUGGUUGUGUUGCUGGAAAAAGGGCUUAAGGCUGCCCCUAUGUUGGCUGGCCUUGUGAGAGCAGCACCAAGGUGUACUCGUGCAUUAAAUGGUGUCGUUCCCUCCAUUGUACCCCACUGCAGAGAUCCCUCCCCUCUCCUUUAUUUUGCAACACCUUUAACUGAUUUGCAGGUAUGUAAUACUGUCUGAUGAGCUGCCAAAAUAGUCUUGCAGUUGUUGGGCAGGGCUGGUGAGCUGGGUGGGAUGCACCUGCCGCUGCGCAGUGUACUUGCUGGACAAUCUGCUGGAAGGGCAGGCCAUCUCUGGUUGCGGCAGCCUUCAGCCUUGCCUAAUUUGGCUCCGGUUGCUGUGUUGGUACAGCCUUUAGGCCGGCUCACGGUCUUAGUCGCUGGUUCCUUUGGCUCUGCCCUCAUCUACACUCCCAAGUUGUAAUAGACUAAUUUUAUUUAUUAUCAUUCUUGUAAGCUAAGACAAUAGCCUUGAAAGUAGUAUAUCGUACUUUAUUCGUCUACGAAUAAACGAGCAUUGCUUCUGUUGAAAUCUGUAGCUUUGAGAAAAAACGGAAAAUGUAUUUAUACUCUUAUUCGAGAAAUAAAAUACUCAUUCAUUAUUAAA